rnacentral:rRNA from 1 species
UUGGUUAAGUUAGAAAGGGCGCACGGUGGAUGCCUUGGCACUAGGAGCCGAAGAAGGACGGGACUAACACCGAUAUGCUUUGGGGAGCUGUACGUAAGCGUUGAUCCAGAGAUUUCCGAAUGGGGGAACCCACUAUCUUUAGUCGGAUAGUAUCCUUACGUGAAUACAUAGCGUGAGGAAGGCAGACCCAGGGAACUGAAACAUCUAAGUACCUGGAGGAAGAGAAAGAAAAAUCGAUUUCCUGAGUAGCGGCGAGCGAAACGGAAAGAGCCCAAACCAAGAAGCUUGCUUCUUGGGGUUGUAGGACACUCUAUACGGAGUUACAAAAGAAAGUUAUAAAUGAAGCGGUCUGGAAAGGCCCGCCAAAGACGGUAACAGCCCGGUAGUUGAAAUGGCUUUCCCUCCAGAGUGGAUCCUGAGUACGGCGGAACACGUGAAAUUCCGUCGGAAUCCGGGAGGACCAUCUCCCAAGGCUAAAUACUCCCUAGUGACCGAUAGUGAACCAGUACCGUGAGGGAAAGGUGAAAAGCACCCCGGAAGGGGAGUGAAACAGUUCCUGAAACCGUGUGCCUACAAGUAGUUAGAGCCCGUUAAUGGGUGAUAGCGUGCCUUUUGUAGAAUGAACCGGCGAGUUACGAUUUGUUGCAAGGUUAAGCGGAAAAAGCGGAGCCGUAGCGAAAGCGAGUCUGAAUAGGGCGCAUAAGUAACAGGUCGUAGACCCGAAACCAGGUGAUCUACCCAUGUCCAGGAUGAAGGUAAGGUAAUACUUACUGGAGGUCCGAACCCACGCACGUUGAAAAGUGCGGGGAUGAGGUGUGGGUAGCGGAGAAAUUCCAAUCGAACUUGGAGAUAGCUGGUUCUCUCCGAAAUAGCUUUAGGGCUAGCCUCGAGGUAAAGAGUCAUGGAGGUAGAGCACUGUUUGGACUAGGGGCCCUUCUCGGGUUACCGAAUUCAGAUAAACUCCGAAUGCCAUGUACUUAUACUCGGGAGUCAGACUGCGAGUGAUAAGAUCCGUAGUCGAAAGGGAAACAGCCCAGACCACCAGUUAAGGUCCCCAAAUAUAUGUUAAGUGGAAAAGGAUGUGGGGUUGCUUAGACAACCAGGAUGUUGGCUUAGAAGCAGCCACCAUUGAAAGAGUGCGUAAUAGCUCACUGGUCGAGUGACCCCGCGCCGAAAAUGUACCGGGGCUAAACAUAUUACCGAAACUGUGGAUGAACCUCUUUAGAGGUUCGUGGUAGGAGAGCGUUCUAAGGGCGGUGAAGUCAGACCGGAAGGACUGGUGGAGCGCUUAGAAGUGAGAAUGCCGGUAUGAGUAGCGAAAGAAGGGUGAGAAUCCCUUCCACCGAAUAUCUAAGGUUUCCUGAGGAAGGCUCGUCCGCUCAGGGUUAGUCGGGACCUAAGCCGAGGCCGAUAGGCGUAGGCGAUGGACAACAGGUAGAGAUUCCUGUACCAGUGCUAAUUGUUUAACCGAUGGGGUGACACAGAAGGAUAGGGAAUCGCACGAAUGGAAAUGUGCGUCCAAGCAGUGAGUGUGAGAAGUAGGCAAAUCCGCUUCUCGCGAAGCAUGAGCUGUGAUGGGGAAGGAAAUUAAGUACGGAAGUUCCUGAUUUCACGCUGUCAAGAAAAGCCUCUAGGAAGAGUAGUACUGCCCGUACCGCAAACCGACACAGGUAGAUGAGGAGAGAAUCCUAAGGUGAGCGAGAGAACUCUCGUUAAGGAACUCGGCAAAAUGACCCCGUAACUUCGGGAGAAGGGGUGCUCUAUUAGGGUGCAAGCCCGAGAGAGCCGCAGUGAAUAGGCCCAGGCGACUGUUUAGCAAAAACACAGGUCUCUGCAAAACCGUAAGGUGACGUAUAGGGGCUGACGCCUGCCCGGUGCUGGAAGGUUAAGAGGAGUGCUUAGCUUCGGCGAAGGUACGAAUUGAAGCCCCAGUAAACGGCGGCCGUAACUAUAACGGUCCUAAGGUAGCGAAAUUCCUUGUCGGGUAAGUUCCGACCCGCACGAAAGGCGCAACGAUCUGGGCACUGUCUCAACGAGAGACUCGGUGAAAUUAUAGUACCUGUGAAGAUGCAGGUUACCCGCGACAGGACGGAAAGACCCCGUGGAGCUUUACUGCAACCUGAUAUGGAAUGUUUGUACCGCUUGUACAGGAUAGGUAGGAGCCGAAGAGACGUGUGCGCUAGCAUACGAGGAGGCAAUGGUGGGAUACUACCCUGGCUGUAUGACCAUUCUAACCCGCCACGCUUAGCGCGUGGGGAGACAGUGUCAGGUGGGCAGUUUGACUGGGGCGGUCGCCUCCUAAAGAGUAACGGAGGCGCCCAAAGGUUCCCUCAGAAUGGAUGGAAAUCAUUCGCAGAGUGUAAAGGCACAAGGGAGCUUGACUGCGAGACUGACAAGUCGAGCAGGGACGAAAGUCGGGCUUAGUGAUCCGGUGGUUCCGCAUGGAAGGGCCAUCGCUCAACGGAUAAAAGCU